CAAGUACUCCCUCCGUCUGGAAUUACUUGUCAUCAAAAUGGAUGUGUCUAGAACUAAAAUACAUCUAGAUACAUCCAUUUCAAUGACAAGUAUUUCCGGACGGAGGGAGUACAAG
rfam:Triticum urartu cultivar G1812 contig428101, whole genome shotgun sequence.